UACAGAGGUCUCAAGCGUUGUUCGGAUUCAUUGGGCGUAAAGGGUGCGUAGGCGGCGCGGUAAGUCGGGUGUGAAAUCUCGGAGCUUAACUCCGAAACUGCAUUCGAUACUGCCGUGCUUGAGGACUGGAGAGGAGACUGGAAUUUACGGUGUAGCUGGUGAAAUGCGUAGAUAUCGUAAGGAAGACCAGUGGCGAAGGCGGGUCUCUGGACAGUUCCUGACGUGAGGCACGAAGGUCAGGGGAGCAAACGGG
rnacentral:rRNA from 1 species